GCAGCCACCAUAACCUAAAAGACUAGUUUUUCCGUCUCUUGCAAAGCACACGUAUCAUCUCCAUUGAUAUUCCCCUCUAGUGAUUGAAGUUGUGGAUCUUCUAAGGCAAAGUUAUUUUCUGCUCCUCUUGAGUUAGAAGGCUUACUUGUUACUUGGUAAAUAUUGUGUUCCUUAUUUUGGUUGUGGAACCCAUUCCUCAAAUUGUUGUGCUACUUGGUGUCCCUCGCUCUGCUUUUCAAAGUGACUCUUUUAUCUACAUCAUCAUCGAUAAACUUAAGAGUAUCAAAAAAGCUGUAGUCCAUCGACAAGCCUCGAAAGUGCCCAACAAAGGACACUCCUACUAGCCUCGGUCGCCUACCAGACUCAUUUGGAUUGAGGUCAAAAAUGUCAAAGGAUAGAAGGUUGUCAAACUUUGCAACAAAGUAGAAAGAGGUGUAUGAGUGAGAACAUUAGUGGUAGGACCCAUUAUCUAAUAUUUGCUUUAUGUCCAUUAUUCUCAAUGAGUUUUCAAUGAACUUUGGAUCCAUUGAAAAACUAAAAUCAAUGUUAAGUCCACGAAAACUAAAUCUUGAUGAACUUUCAAUUUGUCAACUAA